rnacentral:rRNA from 1 species
AAGGUCCAGCCUGCCCAGUGACCCAUUCAACGGCCGCGGUAUCCUAACCGUGCAAAGGUAGCAUAAUCACUUGUCCCUUAAAUAGAGACUAGCAUGAACGGCUAAAUGAGGAUUAAACUGUCUCUUAUAAUUAACCUAUGAAACUGAUCUUGUAGUCCAAAAGCUACAAUAAAUACACCAGACGAGAAGACCCUGUGGAGCUUCUAAACCAAAACCAAACUAUGGCCCUUAGGUUUUUAGUUGGGGCAACUUCGGAGCAUACAUUAACCUCCGAUAAAACACAAUCUAGACUAACAAGUCAAAACAAUCUCAUGACCCAAUAGUUUAAUAUAAACUAUUUGACCAAUGAACCAAGUUACCCCAGGGAUAACAGCGCUAUCCCCUUUUAGAGUCCCUAUCGACAAGGGGGCUUACGACCUCGAUGUUGGAUCAGGACACCCAAAUAAUGCAACCGUUAUUAAAGGUUCGUUUGUUCAACGAUUAAAGUCCUACGUGAUCUGAGUUCAGACCGGA